CUUUAAAUGUCUUCCUGUGGUUUGUAUCAGCUGGUAAAAUUCUCUGAUAUAGUGUUUUCUCUGGAAAUUUGGUUGGAAUGGUUUAGCAGGAUAAGCCUGACAAUGCCAUGGUGCAAUGCCUUGCUGUGUGCAAGUCUGACGCUUGGUGAUACACUAACUUUCUUGACAAAGAGACUGGCUGAGACAAUUUUAACUCUGUAUGCAUUGGCAUCCGCUGUCAUGAGAGCAAAUUCGUCUUUAGAGCGCACAAAUUUCAGCGACAGGUCGAUUCCAUUAAGUAACAGUUUUUCUUGAAAAAACAGGUCUGCAUGUACUGGUGCAAUCAAUUCAACAAUACUGCUAUUUGCUGUGUAGCCACCUCUGGUCACCAGACCCUGGUUCUCUCCUUCUAUAGAUGUGUCAUUCAUGUGUGAUGAUGUAUCCUUACAGAAUAACCCGGUGCUGAACUGUGUGUCUAAAGUGUCCUUAUUAUAAUUGAUAAGACAUUCUAUCACACCUCUGUAUGGAUAUGUAUUGGAUGAUUGACUAAUGAGCCGGUCUCCCAAAUUAAUAUCGACUUGACUAAAUAUGCUGCAUCCAGGAUAAUUAAUAAAUCCUACAUUAGCAUCCCUAGCCAGGUUUGAGCCAUCAGCGUUUGUGAUUCUCACCCGUGUGUAGAUAUAUGAGUCAUUUAGAUCCAGGUAAUCUUCACCCGACGAUGAGAUGUAAAACUCGAUCGGCCCUCCAUCAGUGAUUGCAGAUACAGAUGCAUAAUGGCCCACAGACAGUUCGAUCGUGGUUACGGCUAAGGUUCCAUCUUUGACUGGGUCCUGAAUUUCCACUUCCGAAUCUGAUUGUGGAAAAGUCCGCCAUAUGCGUGGGUACUGUAUCUCUAUAACAGCGACCUCAUACGGCUGAUCCAAAACAAUAGGUUUUGCUAGCUUUGUUCUAAAAUUAGAUAUCUUAUUACCCGGGUAAACAUGUGCUGAAGCAUUCGAGAAGAGGCUUACAUAGAAGCCUGCAUUGUUGUUCUUUUUAUUCAUGCUUUCUCAGUCUAUGCUCAGUGUUGAAUGAAUGUAUGUAGAGCUGCGUCAUCUGAGUUAAUUACGCCUCAACGAUGUCUUUUUCUGGAAUCCACGAAUUAAAGCUGUUGGGCCAUCCUAGCCAUUUCACUAGCACCUGCUUUUUCCGACCCACUUUUUUUCUAGCCAAUAUGUUUUCAAUUUUAAAUGUUUUGUUUUCAUCAACAACCACACGUUGUAUCUCAGGCUCAUAAAAUGACCCUUUCAAUACCUCUCCUGCUAGAUCCACUAGUCUGUACACUGGGGGCUGUCUCCCUAUACGUUCCUUGACUGUGAAAAUCUCAUCGGUGUAGGUCUGCUCGUAUCCUUUUCGAAACUUUCCUCUCAGUUUUGAUAUUCGUACAGUGUCACCGAUAUUAAAUUUAAAGCGCAGUUCCCUCUGAGGUCUCGUUUUGUACAGCGCGUUAAAGACCGACUUCUCAUUAUGCUUAUUCACCUCUGCCGGAGCCAUUUGGAUAGAUCUGUGAUAAGCAUUGUUAUAUGCUUGUGUGAGAUCUGGUAUGACAUCUACAUAUCUCCGGGAGUUGGCUGAUGUUAAGUACUUCCACAUUCUACCCUUGAAGCUACGAUUGAAUCUCUCGACAAUACUGCAUUUAACCUCGCUAGCUGUUGAGAAAUGCUUGAUAUUAUAUCGCUUCAUUAGCUGUUUAAAGGUUGCAUUAUAAAACUCUUUGCUUUCAUCUAUUUGUAGUUUCACAGGGAUCCUACCCUCACUAAGUAUAUCCUCAAAAGCAGCUGAUACAACAGUCCCUGUGUCAUGGUCCCUGUGCCUCCCCGGCCAGCCCAGUGUGGCCACAAGUGUUUGUUGUUUUUCUCUCACUCUGUCUCUCCUACCUGUCUGCCUGGGCGGAGCUCUGAUUGGGCUCCUGCCCUUGGCCCACGCACCUGCAGCUGAUCUCGAGCGGAUUGCAGUUCUCUGGCUCUUAAGGCUGGGGCUCUGAGCUGUUCGUCGCUGGAAUAUUGAGUAACUCUCGUUUACCUGGAUCAGCCCUUUUGUGACCCCUGGACCCCGUGAGUAGGAGAGUGAGCUGAGCUGCUUGUGUGGAGACUGUUUGGACGAGGAGCAGAGCGAGUGCGAAGAAGUGUGUCUCCCCAGCCAAGUGAUCCCCGGGACCCUGGUGUUUCCCCCCCCUUCACGUGUAUAUAGUGCACCAGUGUGAUUAAUAAAGUGUUGUUGAACUGUGCUACCUCAGUCUGCGCCUGAGUCCGUUCCACUCCCGUGACACCCUGUCUUGUUUGUUAGACAUCUAACCCAUGCGUAUUUUGAGAAUACAUCUAUACAUGUUAGCAGAUAUCUCACAUUAUCAUUAUCUGCCACAUAUUCACACAUGUCAACCAGAUCGGCUUGAAACUGUUUGUCGACCCCUGUCACCAAUACUCUAUUUCUGGGGAAAUGGAUCCUCGCAGGUUUGUGGAGUGUGUAAGUGUCGUCUUGUUCUAAAUAAUGUUUGACCUGAGAUAGUGGAGGUGUUACAUCUGAUGCCUCCCCUGCUGCUAUACGUAGCUUAUUUAAACUGGCCAACCGCGCAGGAUGGGCUGGAUCAUGAUAUAUUUUAUGCAAUGUGCUUUCCAUGAUUUACAAACCACAAAUGACUAAGAUGUUGAUGUUAACAAGUCUUUUUAUUUAAUUUUCACAAAGACACAAUCACAGACAAUGGAUACUUGAACAGCACACAAUAAUAGGUUUUGUUUUACUUACCGUUUACGAUGGCCAUGCUAUAAAGAACGAUGUUAGUGUUGAUGAUCGCAAAGAAAAUGGUGUGCUCUGCAGC
ensembl:lncRNA